rnacentral:lncRNA from 10 species
CGCCCGCCCGCGCACCUCCAACCCACCUGCCGCCGGCCAGACAGGAAUGGACUGUGUGACUGAAUGAAAUGGCGGGGCCAUAAGCCAUCCAAGGAGCCGCCUCCGUGAAGUUAUAGGCUCGCGGGGUACAAGGAGAAAAAAACAAUCCAGCUCCAACGGUACUGAUGUGACAGGAGGUUGUCACAGCAGAGCGGAAGAUCUGGCAGAAAGACGCUGGGAAAGAAGACACUAGGGGAAAACAUCAGAAAGUUCGGAUGAUGAAAACUCACCUCACGCCACAACAAUGUAGGAUAAAGCCGGCGGUCACCCCACCCCAGAGUGGGACAAAGUCGCACCACCCCUUGACAAUGGGGCAUCAAGAUCUUAUCGCCACGGGGGUUGCAUCCUGGUGGGGUCUUUUGGAGGGUUUAGCACCUUGCAUCCUAGAAUACAAAACACUUUUGCGUGUUUUUUGGUAGAAUUCUCUGAUCCCCUACCUCCAAUCUGAAUUAGGUCUUUCAUGUUUUCCUCACUUGGCUCAGUCUUCUACACCUUUACAUAGUUGUAUUUUUAUAUAUUUGUUUAAUGUCUGACUGUCAACUCCAUGAGAGUGAGAAUCAUGUCUAUUUCCUUCACUAUAAUUUAUCCUCUGCCUGGCACAUAGUGGGUGCUCAAGAAUGGCAGCUUCAUCACUAACUCCAUAAACAACACGCAAUUCUCUCAGAUUCCAUGACCCUGUGUCUCUAGUCCUGAAGAAGAAAGAGAAACUGACGACCUGGGCAGAAAACAAAAAUAAAAUGAACUCAGACACAGAGACGCAAAGACCCAGUUACUGGACUUUAAAUAAGAGGAGAAGGUUUGAUCUCUGAAUAAAAAUAGAUAUAACAUGAUUAUAAUGAAGCAUAAGUUUCAAAACCCCUCACUUGCACUGGCUGCUUUUUUUUUCUUUUUUUGUUUUUUUUUUUUUGGUAGAGACAGAGACUUGCUCUGUCAUCCAAGCUGGAGUGCAUUGGUGCGAUCUCGGCUCACUGUAAUCUCCCCAUCCCAGGUUCAAGCAAUUCUUCUGCCUCAGGCUCCCAAGUAGCAGCUGGAAUUACAGGUGUGCGCCACCAUGCCCAGCUAAUUUUUGUAUUUUUAGUAGAGACGAGGGUUCACCAUGUUGGCCAGGCUGGUCUUGAACUCCUGACCUCAGGUAAUCCACCUGCCUCAGCCUCCCAAAGUGCUAGAAUUACAGGCAUGAGCCACUGCGUCCAGCCGCACUGGCUGCUGGCUGCUUUUAAACCGCAC